AGAGAUGUGUGAUGACGCAUAUCAAUAAGCGGAGGAAAAGAAACUAACAAGGAUUCCCUUAGUAACGGCGAGUGAAGCGGGAAGAGCUCAAAUUUGAAAUCUUCAAGGUUCUACCUUGACGAAUUGUAGUUUAUAGAAGUGUUUUCUGUUAGUAGAGUGGCAAAAGUUCUUUGGAAUAGGACAUCAUAGAGGGUGAGAAUCCCGUAUUUGGUCAUUCUUUCUAGCUUUGUGAUACACUUUCAACGAGUCGGAUUGUUUGGGAAUGCAGUCCAAAAUGGGUGGUAAAUUUCAUCUAAAGCUAAAUAUUGGCGAGAGACCGAUAGCGAACAAGUACCGUGAGGGAAAGAUGAAAAGAACUUUGAAAAGAGAGUUAAACAGUACGUGAAAUUGUCAAAAGGGAAGCGUUUGACACCAGUGUUGUUUUUCCGAAAAUCAAUUACGAAUGUUUUAUUUUUGAGAAGUUAUGACUUCAUCGGCUUGCUUCUCUCUUUAUGAAACUUUCUUAAUGCACUUUUCGGUUAACAAGUCAACAUCAAUUUCUUUUGUUGUAAAAGGGUAUGAGGAAGGUGGCUUUCCUUUCGGAGAAAGUGUUUAUAGCCUUGUACCUCUGCAAUCGGAGAGAUUGAGGUCUGCAGCGUAGAUCCUUCGGGGCUAGAUACAUUUGUGCUAAGUUAUAGCUUUUCAUAGACAACUUGUUGACUAUGUUUAGUCUUGUAGCUUACUCGCUUAUGCUAUUUUACCUACGCUUAGGAUGUUGACGAUCAGCUGAGCGCG
rnacentral:rRNA from 1 species